GUUUUUCCAGAUAGAUCGUCGUCAGACUCAGAAAUAGAGAUCUGUAAAUUUAAGAAGAAAAUUACGGUUUUGCAGAAUAUUCGAGUGCAAAAUUCAGAGGAAUCCAACCAGACUCUGACGAAACCACGGAUACAAAAAUAAACACAAUUAAAGCUUUGAGAAAUACAAAA